UACGUAGGGUGCAAGCGUUGUCCGGAAUUAUUGGGCGUAAAGAGCUCGUAGGCGGCUUGUCGCGUCUGCUGUGAAAACUCGGGGCUUAACUCCGGGCCUGCAGUGGGUACGGGCAGACUAGAGUGCGGUAGGGGGAGACUGGAAUUCCUGGUGUAGCGGUGAAAAUGCGCAGAUAUCAGGAGGAACACCGAUGGCGAAGGCAGGUCUCUGGGCAUUAACUGACGCUGAGGAGCGAAAAGCAUGGGGGAGCGAACAGGA
rnacentral:rRNA from 1 species